GGGAAGGUGGCUCAGUGGUACAGUGCUUGCCUUGCAUGCAUGAGGCCCUGGGUUCAAUUCCUCAGCCACCACA
rfam:Dipodomys ordii contig_183, whole genome shotgun sequence.